GAGUUUGAUCCUGGCUCAGGAUGAACGCUGGCGGCGUGCUUAACACAUGCAAGUCGAGCGAUGAAGUUUCCUUCGGGAAACGGAUUAGCGGCGGACGGGUGAGUAACACGUGGGUAACCUGCCUCAUAGAGUGGAAUAGCCUUCCGAAAGGAAGAUUAAUACCGCAUAACGUUGAAAGAUGGCAUCAUCAUUUAACCAAAGGAGCAAUCCGCUAUGAGAUGGACCCGCGGCGCAUUAGCUAGUUGGUGGGGUAACGGCCUACCAAGGCGACGAUGCGUAGCCGACCUGAGAGGGUGAUCGGCCACAUUGGGACUGAGACACGGCCCAGACUCCUACGGGAGGCAGCAGUGGGGAAUAUUGCACAAUGGGGGAAACCCUGAUGCAGCAACGCCGCGUGAGUGAUGAAGGUUUUCGGAUCGUAAAGCUCUGUCUUUGGGGAAGAUAAUGACGGUACCCAAGGAGGAAGCCACGGCUAACUACGUGCCAGCAGCCGCGGUAAUACGUAGGUGGCAAGCGUUAUCCGGAUUUACUGGGCGUAAAGGGAGCGUAGGCGGAUGAUUAAGUGGGAUGUGAAAUACCCGGGCUCAACUUGGGUGCUGCAUUCCAAACUGGUUAUCUAGAGUGCAGGAGAGGAGAGUGGAAUUCCUAGUGUAGCGGUGAAAUGCGUAGA
rnacentral:rRNA from 1 species